UAGGGAAUCUUCCACAAUGGACGCAAGUCUGAUGGAGCAACGCCGCGUGAGUGAAGAAGGUUUUCGGAUCGUAAAGCUCUGUUGUUGGUGAAGAAGGAUAGAGGUAGUAACUGGCCUUUAUUUGACGGUAAUCAACCAGAAAGUCACGGCUAACUACGUGCCAGCAGCCGCGGUAAUACGUAGGUGGCAAGCGUUGUCCGGAUUUAUUGGGCGUAAAGCGAGCGCAGGCGGAAGAAUAAGUCUGAUGUGAAAGCCCUCGGCUUAACCGAGGAACUGCAUCGGAAACUGUUUUUCUUGAGUGCAGAAGAGGAGAGUGGAACUCCAUGUGUAGCGGUGGAAUGCGUAGAUAUAUGGAAGAACACCAGUGGCGAAGGCGGCUCUCUGGUCUGCAACUGACGCUGAGGCUCGAAAGCAUGGGUAGCGAACAGGAUUAGAUACCCCCGUAGUCC
rnacentral:rRNA from 1 species